AUCGGAGGUAACACAUUCACAUUGAAUGCACCAGUUGAAUCACUGAAGUUAAGCAGCUCUGAGCUUGGUUUGUAACCGGAUAGGUGACGAUCUGGGCAAUCAGGUACUUCUUACU
rnacentral:rRNA from 1 species